rnacentral:rRNA from 1 species
GAUGGGGAGCGAAAUUUAGUAGCGAAGUAGCUGAUUUCACACUGUCAAGAAAAGUCUCUAUCGAGGUUAAAGGUACCCGUACCGCAAACCGACACAGGUGGGGGAGGAGAGUAUCCUAAGGCCAGCGAGAGAACUGUUGUUAAGGAACUCGGCAAAAUGACCCCGUAACUUAGGGAUAAGGGGUGCCACCAUCAGGUGGCCGCAGAGAAUAGGCCCAAGCGACUGUUUACCAAAAACAUAGGUUUCUGCUAAGUCGCAAGACGAUGUAUAGG